rnacentral:rRNA from 1 species
AGCGAACGCUGGCGGCGUGCCUAACACAUGCAAGUCGAACGGGAAAGGGAUCAGUGCCCGGUAAAGUGGCGUACGGGUGACGAACACGUAGGUAAUCUACCCCAGACUCUGUAAUAACGGGCCGAAAGGCUGGCUAAUACUCGCUAGAACGACAGACGCCGUAAUGGGGUUUUUCGGGGAACGGAGCCUGUAACAAGGCCUUCGUUCCGGAAUUCGCCUUCGUCCCAUGAGCGAGUUGGUGGGGUAAAGGCCUACCAAGGCGAUGACGCGUAGCUGGUCUGGGAGAAUGAUCGGCCACACUGGAACUGAGACACGGUCCAGACUCCUACGGGAGGCAGCAGUGGGGAAUAUUCGACAAUGGGCGCAAGCCUGAUCCAGCCAUACCGCGUGGGUGAAGAAGGCCUUCGGGUUGUAAAGCCCUUUUGUUGGGAAAGAAAAGCAGCAGGUUAAUACCCCGCUGUUCUGACGGUACCCAAAGAAUAAGCACCGGCUAACUUCGUG